UACAGAGGUCCCAAGCGUUGUUCGGAUUCACUGGGCGUAAAGGGUGCGUAGGCGGUUUGAUAAGUCUGAUGUGAAAUCCCGCAGCUUAACUGCGGAACUGCAUUGGAUACUGUUUGACUAGAGGAAUGGAGGGGAGACUGGAAUACUUGGUGUAGCAGUGAAAUGCGUAGAUAUCAAGUGGAACACCAGUGGCGAAGGCGAGUCUCUGGACAUUUCCUGACGCUGAGGCACGAAAGCCAGGGGAGCAAACAGG
rnacentral:rRNA from 1 species